UACGUAGGGGGCUAGCGUUGUCCGGAUUUAUUGGGCGUAAAGGCUCGUAGGCGGCCAACUAAGUCAUACGUGAAAUCCCUCAGCUUAACUGGGGAACUGCGUGUGAUACUGGAUGGCUUGGAUUUGGGAGAGGGAUGCGGAAUUCCGGGUGUAGCGGUGGAAUGCGUAGAGAUCCGGAAGAACACCGGUGGCGAAGGCGGUUAGCUGGGGCAGUUGCUGACACUGAGGCGCGACAGCGUGGGGAGCAAACGG
rnacentral:rRNA from 1 species